rnacentral:rRNA from 1 species
GAUGAACGCUGGCGGCGUGCCUAAUACAUGCAAGUCGAGCGAACAGACGAGGAGCUUGCUCCUCUGACGUUAGCGGCGGACGGGUGAGUAACACGUGGAUAACCUACCUAUAAGACUGGGAUAACUUCGGGAAACCGGAGCUAAUACCGGAUAAUAUAUUGAACCGCAUGGUUCAAUAGUGAAAGACGGUUUUGCUGUCACUUAUAGAUGGAUCCGCGCCGCAUUAGCUAGUUGGUAAGGUAACGGCUUACCAAGGCAACGAUGCGUAGCCGACCUGAGAGGGGGUUCGGCCCCACUGAACUUGAGCACGGGCCCGGCUCCCACCGGGAGCAAGAGUUGGGAAACCUUCCGCAAUGGGCGAAGGCCGGAGGAGCAAAGGCGCGGGAGGUAAUAAGGGCCUCCGAAUGGUAAACCUUUGUAAUAGGGAAGAACAAAAUGUGAAAGUACUAUGGACGGCUUGAAGGGUCCCAAACAAAAAGGCAAGGCCAACUUACGU